UCUUCUAUCAGGCAGGAUGGUAUUACCCCACUGAAGUUGUUAUAUGACAGGUCAAGGAUUUGGAGGUUGCUUGAAUCACAAAUAGAAUGUGGUAUGUGCCCAUUUAUGUUAUUUCUGGACAUUUUGAGAUAAACAGUUUUGCUAAGAUAAGCAGUGAAGUUUGACAUAACAGAAGAGAAUCUAUUGUUUGAAUAAUCCAAGACUUGACUGAAACUGCUAUAUGCUGUCAACAGGUUUGGCAUCGGGAUCUGGCCUUCAAGUCUAUUGAAACUGAGAUCAAGAGAUUCCAAACGACUGUUAGGGAGAUCAUCUGAAGUGAGUUGCAUGUAUGUGAAUAUGUUGUGCGAAAGAUUCAAAACCAUAAGGCUAUCAUCCCAUGUCUCCCAUAUCCAUUUGGGUAUCGUCCCAGGUAUUUUGUUGCUCGAAAGGUCCAAUGCCUGGAUAUGAUUUACUUGCAUCAAGAAUCUAGGAAUUCUUGUCAUGUUGCAAGAUACAAGUUCUAAUCUAAAGAGUUUAGGGAGUAAGGGCACUGUGGGUUUACUGUCUUCUUCAUCCAAGACGGACAACCUGUUGUUUGAGAGACCCAAGUAACCAAGCUUUCUUAACUUCCAAGGUGAACUCGGUUGUACUAAACCUGUUAAAUUGUUUGAGCUAAGAUCCAGGGCCACCAAACUUUUGAGUUGAAAUAAUGAUGACGGAAUCUGUCCACUAAUCUGAUUUUCACGCAAAUAAACAACUGAUAGGUGUGAAUUUAGUGUAUCGAACUCUUCUACCGCUCCAGAAAGUUGGUUUGAUGAAAGGUCGAGCAGUAACAUUGCUGGAGAAGUGAAUAGAGAUGUUGGAAUAUCUCCUGCACAGAGAGUUAAAUAAAUGGUUAUACGUUGACAUCAUUUAGUGAAGACAAGGAACUGCAUAUUCUGUAGAACGAAAGUAUGAAUCCCCAAGCUUGGAGAGAUGUUACAUACAGAAAGGUUAAACAGAUCAAGGAAUCCUUGUUGUAGUUACUCCGUUCCUAAUAUAAAAAGUCAUAACUUUGUCCUAAAUCAAGCUUCUUCAAAUUUGACCAAAUUUAUAGAAAAAUAUAUUAAGACCUACAAUAUCAAAUGAGUAUAUUAUAAAUGAUAUAUAUGUAAUGACAGAUUUAAUAAAACUAGAUGUUGGUAGAAUUUUCUAUAAACUUGGUCGAACUUGAAGAAGUUUGACUUAGGACAAAGAUAAGACUUCAUAUAUUUAGGAACAAAGGUAGUACUAGUAUAUUAAGAACAUCCAACAUAAUCCGGUCGCCCAAGCUUGGAGAGAUGUUCCCUUCUCUUAACAAGAAAUUAUGGAAGCCAUUCAACACAUGAACAAGAAUGUAUGGGUUUAGGUCGGGCUUCUUCAAGAAAUUAUAGCUUCCGUCCUGCCCUCUUAGACUGGCUGGUUGCUCUUGCCACCAUGCCCUGAUUUUGUUUCCUCUUUUGCUGCCUUGCCCCCUGUAACCCUGCUUUGUAUUUGUUUUCUAUUUAUCAAUAUAUUAUAUAUUGUUGGAUUCUUUCCUACAGUUUUGCUUUAAAAAAAGGGCUACAAAGAAAAGAAAGAACUCAAAAUGAAACUAAGGAAGUUGGGUUAUGAAUUUACUCUUACCUCUAAGGCUAUUAUGUGCAAGAUCCACAUAAAUCAGCUGAGUCAAGUUGACAAGUGUUGUACUUGGUAUUGUGCCAGAAAUCCCACAGCCCCUUAAUACUAGUACCGUUAAUUUGCUGAGCUGUCCAAUAUCUCUUGUUAUAGGAGAUAAUGAGCCAAUAUAAGACAUUUCCAAGAUUCUUAGUUUUUUGAGAUUACCAAUUGAAGAUGGUAUUGCACCAGAGAAGCCACCACCGGAGAUUCUCAAGGAAGUCAAUUUGCU
rnacentral:lncRNA from 1 species